rnacentral:rRNA from 1 species
AUUGAACGCUGGCGGCAUGCCUUACACAUGCAAGUCGAACGGCAGCACGGGGCAACCUGGUGGCGAGUGGCGAACGGGUGAGUAAUGCAUCGGAACGUACCUUUCAGUGGGGGAUAACGUAGCGAAAGUUACGCUAAUACCGCAUAUUCUGUGAGCAGGAAAGCAGGGGAUCGCAAGACCUUGCGCUGAUUGAGCGGCCGAUGUCAGAUUAGCUAGUUGGUGAGGUAAAGGCUCACCAAGGCGACGAUCUGUAGCGGGUCUGAGAGGAUGAUCCGCCACACUGGAACUGAGCCACGGUCCAGACUCCCACGGGCGGCAGCAGUGGGGAAUUUUGGACAAUGGGGGCAACCCUGAUCCAGCCAUGCCGCGUGAGUGAAGAAGGCCUUCGGGUUGUAAAGCUCUUUCGGCCGGGAAGAAAUCGCACGGGCUAAUACCCUGUGUGGAUGACGGUACCGGAAUAAGAAGCACCGGCUAACUACGUGCCAGCCGCCGCAGUAACAC